UCAGAGGGUAGUUUAAUUUAGAAUUCUAGCUUUGGGAGCUAGUGGUGGGAGUUAAAAUCUCUUCCUUCUGAG
rnacentral:tRNA from 1 species